rnacentral:lncRNA from 1 species
GUUGGGUUAGGGUUAGGGUUAGCUCUGUAAAGUUGGUCGUUGGGUUAGGGUUAGGGUUAGCUCUGUAAAGUUGGUCGUUGGGUUAGGGUUAGGGUUAGGGUUAGCUCUGUAAAGUUGGUCGUUGGGUUAGGGUUAGGGUUAGCUCUGUAAAGUUGGUCGUUGGGUUAGGGUUAGGGUUAGCUCUGUAAAGUUGGUCAUUGGGUUAGGGUUAGGGUUAGGGUUAGCUCUGUAAAGUUGGUCGUCGGGUUAGGGUUAGGGUUAGGGUUAGCUCUGUAAAGUUGGAUGUUGGGUUAGGGUUAGGGUUAGCUCUGUAAAGUUGGUCGUUGGGUUAGGGUUAGGGUUAG